GCCCGAUAUAAACCCGACCAUUUUUAAUAUGUGAGCCGUUAUAACCAGGGGCGGCGUCAGUUGUUUUAUUAACGCAGGUGCUCCUGUGCUAGAUCAUUUAGGCUACAGGGGGGAGCUGCGCAGUUAUAGUAUAUAUUUUCUAUAAAUACUAUUAAUAAAUGAGCACAAAUUGGCCACUCAAUAUUAAAUAUUCAGUUAUUUUAAUUAUCAUAAUUAAAGUUUUAAUUUUAUUAAAUUGAACAAGCACAACAUUCAGCAUUCAAUCAAAUAUUCUUAAAGAUUAAUUAUUAUUAAUAAUGUUACUUCAACAUAUUGUUAUUUCAACAUAAUAUGUGUGUGAGCAACAAGCAAGAUGUGCAUUUGUAAAUUCGGUGAGUUUCAAAUGGUGUAAGUGUGACCGCGGCGCGCCGGCGCCUCCAUGUCAUUAUUAUAUUGUCUGCUAUAUUGAUUUUUAUGUAUUAAAUCCAGGCAAUUGGUUGAUGAAAAAUGUAUUAAAAUUAAGAUACAAUUUAUACUAAACGAAAUUCACUUUAAAGAAAAUCUUUCGUCAAAACAAAACUUAACAAACUUGAAACUAAAUGUGCUUAUUUAAUGGCUAAAACACGCAGGCUACUACAGACUCUCUUUUUGUACAAAUUGCAGCACAUUCAUUUAAUUCUGAAUUUUGCACAAGUUGAAAGGCAUUUGUUUGUGCAUAGUAAAACAUAUCUGUGACAUUUAUCAAGUUCCUAAUAUAAAAAAAUAAACCGUGAACAAUGAUGAACACAGAAAGUGAUGGCCUAAGACAUUUUUUUUUUUUUUUUGCUGUCAUAGGCGAGCGGCGUGCGCAUUUAAUGCACGAGACAAAGCCAACACAUAUGUUGUCACUCCCCACGACUAGUUUAAAAUGUUUCCAUACCUCCGAUUUUCCUCCAAACUUGCUCAAAGUUAAUUCUCCUGUUUUAAUUUUUUUCUUUGCUUUGUCAAGCUCCAUGUUGCACUUAAGCUACUGAAUAGUACAGCACGCACAGCAGGCGUGAUG
ensembl:lncRNA